rnacentral:rRNA from 1 species
AUUGAACGCUGGCGGAAUGCUUUACACAUGCAAGUCGAACGGUAGAGGGGGCAACCCCUCGAGAGUGGCGAACGGGUGAGUAAUAUAUCGGAACGUGCCCAGUCGUGGGGGAUAACGUAGCGAAAGUUACGCUAAUACCGCAUACGAUCUAAGGAUGAAAGCGGGGGAUCGCAAGACCUCGCGCGAUUGGAGCGGCCGAUAUCAGAUUAGGUAGUUGGUGGGGUAAAGGCUCACCAAGCCAACGAUCUGUAGCUGGUCUGAGAGGACGACCAGCCAAACUGGAACUGAGACACGGUCCAGAGUCCUACGGGAGGCAGCAGGGGGGAAUUUUGGACAAUGGACGCAAGUCUGAUCCAGCCAUUCCGCGUGCAGGAUGAAGGCCCUCGGGUUGUAAACUGCUUUUGUACGGAACGAAAAGGUCUCUCUUAAUACGGGGGACUCAUGACGGUACCGUAAGAAUAAGCACCGGCUAACUACGUGCCAGCAGCCGCCGUAACAC